CACGAUGCUCUGGAUGGUCGCGUGAUUGGACGGCCGGACGACCUGCUCCAGCGGAGAGACGAGAGAAUCGGUGCACACACCGCGCUCCGCAACACAAUGACAGUCCUGUGAAAGACGGGCAGCUCCAGCGGGAGGUGGCAACAAGCUGGGCCGCUUGGCGGCUCCACUAGGAGACUGAACACAGGAAGGAGACUCAACCCCACAGGAGAGACUCAGCCCCACACAGGAAACUGAACGCCACACAGAGAUAAGCACAUUUACUUCAUGUUCACCUUCCUAAGUCAUUUGACUGUGAUUUGGCGGUCAGUCUCAUUUUACCAGGAGCAUGAUGGCAUCUGUUUUUACGUGGAUGUGACAAAAAAAAAAACGGCAUCAACCACAAGCCCUUUUUCUUCUUCCAGUGUCAUAGCACCAUUUGUACCUUUCCAAGAUAUAAUUUCAGAGGACUCAGCUUUGAUACGUUGGCUUAACAGCCGAGAGAAACUUGGAAGGAGUUUAAAACAAAGGUUCAGAUAUGGAUGUAUCAAAAGGGUGUGUUUUAAAGGGAAGAGUGGUGGGGGGGGAAAAAAACCCUUUAUAAUGUUGGAUUUUGUAACCGUAGGUGUACUUCUUCAGAGGUCCGUUUAAUAGAAGUAUGAAAGAAAACCCCGAUACCUGGAGAAGGCCCAGUAUGCUUCAAAGACUGAGAAAUAGACCCAGUGACCCUCUUCUGAUAUACAAGCCCGCAGUAGCCACGCCAAGCAUUGGCUGCACAAUAAAGGCAGUUUUUUGAUUCCUCACGUGGGUGUCAUUAAAGACUGUGGGGGGAAAAACUAGGAUACAUCUGCCAUUAACAGUGGUGGCUAGAGUCCUGGACAUGAAGAAUGCGGUCAUUAAUUUGGGAGAAGACGUAGUACGUCAUGCGCGGCUUCGCCGGUGGACUUUAAGGUGGGCGAUCGACUUGAAGGGCCUAUCGCUGUGAUGCUCAGCGGGGCUGUAGGCCAAAGACCGCGCUGCCACGGUCAGGGUUCGAGUCCAGACCGCGGGACACGUCCACUGCAGUGCCAGCCUCCAAACAGCCCCCUUUUGAGGUUUCUACUGUUUCUAUUGGCCGUUCAAAUGAUGUUACUUCAUCUCCCUUUUUUUUUUUUACCGAAUCACCAACGAAACAAAAAAGGCUUUAAGUAGCCUGCUGUCUUUUUUGACAUUGCGCAUUGCCGAAGAGCACUUUGAAAGGCGUCCAAGUGUGCUGAGCCAGCUUAUUUAGCAAAAGGGGAGCCGCGGUAACUCGAGGUCGGCGAGCCAAAUAGUGGCACACGUAGAGUAUAUACGGUAUGAAGAUAAACAAAUCCUGAAGAAGGAGGAACCAGCUGACCCGGGCUCACUUUAAAAAAGAAAGUGAUGAUGGGGGGUGGAUGGGGGGUGUGGUGUAAUUUCAAAGACUUCCCCUGAAUGACUGGGGACUGACCGAAGAGUCAAGCGCUAUGUUUAAAAACUAUUUCUCUGAAAGUUUGGGAAAUUUUAACAAACUGGCAGGGCAUGAGGGGGGGAUUCCAUGAGUGAAAACAAAUCACCUGGGCUUCCCUGGCCAUAUACUUUUCCUCUUUUCAGCCGAGUAAUUUCUGCCUUUUCUGGAAGUAAAGUAAAGUAAAUCCGUGAGAGGCCUCCGAAAGGCUGUCCUUGAUUUAUUACAGGAGCCAGAACUGACCCACGCGCACAAAAAAAGGUACACGUAUGCACACAAGCACGUGCGCCUCUUACCCUCUCGUCGAAGCUUCGUUUCAAAAACUCCCGCCCACAAGCUGCAGGUGCAAAAUUCCUACUGCCAGGGCAUUGUCUCUGAUACGCUUGAUAAUCGACUUCUGAGUGAAACUCUAGUGUGCUACUGGGGGCGACAGCUCCGCCUUUUGAUUCGGUCAGUGAUGAAUGAUCUGCGCCUGUAAUUUUAGACGAUUUCACUGCGUAAAGGGGAGACCUCUUUCGGUGUGUGCGGGAGACUCCUGUUUCGCUGUCUCUUUCAAACGCCGUCUUCGACAGCGCUAAAUGACAGCCGAUUCAAGCGCUUCAACUGUGUUAUUUAUGCAAGCGCCCGUCGUUUAUUAAUGACGGACUGACAGCAGUGCCCACGGUGUGAAAAACAUGUCAUGUUUCCCGUUUCCCCCGUCUAUAGGAUCAGUCAAAACAGAACCGCAGUUUAUUUUCCGUGUGGAUUCGCACUGUGGGAUAAAACCGAAAUUAGUUUGUUUUAUCCGUGCCGUUGCUCUGACAAGACCAAGUCGCAUGCUCACGUGCGAUAGCGUAGUUCAUUCAUUAAGCUGCUAUUGUCCUCUCAUGAUUUGACCCGCUACAAAAAUGCGACGAAUAAAUCUUUAGUUGUGUUAUUAUUUGUUUAUUAUACUAGUGUUUAUUUUUUCCGUUUUUGAAAAGUGGAUUGAAACCGAGGAUGUUUAAAGAUGGUUGACACUGAAAGCAUGAAAGCAUGCACACCCCAGAACCGUUAACUCUGUCGGUGCAUUGAGCACAGUGGAAAAUUCGGGAGGUGUAAAGCGAGUAGACUUUAAUGGAAGGCGACCACAUUUAUCAUCCGCCAGUUUCGUCUUGUUACAAAGGCGUGGCGUCCUCCUGUCCAUUGAAAACAAUGGCUGUAAAGAUAUUUUUCAUUUCAGAACCAACCACUGAAAUAAUUUUCCCUGAAGCAAUGCAACCCGUUGUGUGUUAAUUUGUCACUUUCAUGCAAAAAAAAAAGAGAACCUAAUUGUCAUUUACUGGGCCUGUGUCUGUUAUUAGACAGAUAUUACUCAUUGCUAUUAGACAUUAGAUCAAAAGACAUGCAUGUCAGGUUUGGUAGCCUAUACUCCUGCCAUUGCCCUUGACUAAGCCACUGGCCUUAGAACUGGAGUUGGUCCCUGGGCGUUGCACUGUGGCUGCCCAGUGCCCACUGUUCCUAAGUAGCUGGGAUGGGUCAAAUGCAGAGGACAAAUUAGCGCUUUUCUAACAUUCAAAGUCAUUCUCUUCAACCGUCACCAGCGUGUAGCUUCCACCUGGGUGACGCAUGGCCGCCAUUUUGCACCACAAUGCUCACUACACAUCAGCUGAGGUGGAGAGGGAGAGAACAGUUACUAGCCAAUCAAACUGGGAGAUGAUUAGGUGGCAGGUUGAGAGAACCAGACUGGGAAUUUAGCCAGGACACAGGGGAACCCUCUACCCUUCGCAAUGAGUGUCACAGGAUUUUUAAUGACCACGGUGAGUCAGGACCUUGGUCUAACAUCUCACCCCAAAGGACUUUGUCUCCUACAGCACAGUGUCCCCAUCACUGCACUGGGACAUUGGGGUUUAUUUGACCAGAGGGAAGAUCGCCCCCCUACUGGCCCAUCACCACAACGCACGUGUUGGCUGUUGAAAAAUUUGCAGAUUGGAGGCUGAUGUCACCCAGCUGUUUUAGGAUACAGCCAUCAGCCACAGCGGUGGACUGCCACCCAGGUCGUCUCUGUGGACCAGGGAACAAUCAUCCCAUUUACCGAAGACCAGCGUGUGGUAUUCAAAUCCAGCGACAAGGUCCAUCUCUGGAACAUUCCAAGGAAACAAAAGAUCCCUGGACAGCCCCUUCACCCCCAGGCCGUUGACGGCGAGGAUGAUGUCACCCUGCUGGACGAGUCCGCUCUCCUCUGCCGG